AACACAAACCCCGGCGCUGAAUGCGUCAAGGAAUUUAAAAUUUGCUCUGGGCGCACCUGCACGUCACCGGAGACGGUUUUCGUGCGGGUUGUGUUCUGGCACAUGAUAUAGAAUGACUCUCGGCAACGGAUAUCUAGGCUCUUGCAUCGAUGAAGAACGUAGCGAAAUGCGAUACUUGGUGUGAAUUGCAGAAUCCCGUGAACCAUCGAGUCUUUGAACGCAAGUUGCGCCCGAUGCCAUUAGGUUGAGGGCACGUCUGCCUGGGUGUCACAUAUCGAAGCCUCUUGCCAAUUUCCCAUAGAUAGGUAUUGUGCAGGGCGAAUGUUGGCCUCCCGUGAGCUCCAUCGUCUCACGGUUGGUUGAAAAUUGAGACCUUGGUAGGGUGUGCCAUGAUAGAUGGUGGCUGUGUGACCCACGAGACCAAAUCAUGUGCUGCUCUGUCGAAAUUAGCCUCUCUUACCCAUAUGCGUUUCUAAACGCUCGUGAUGAGACCUCAGGUCAGGCGGGGCUACCCGCUGAAUUUAAGCAUAUCAAUAAGCGGAGGAAAAGAAACUAACAAGGAUUCC
rnacentral:rRNA from 1 species